GCACUUAACAGAUUAAGUGUUCCGCCUGGGGAGUACGGUCGCAAGAUUAAAACUCAAAGAAAUAGACGGGGACCCGCACAAGUGGUGGAGCAUGUGGUUUAAUUCGAAGAUACGCGAAGAACCUUACCUAGCCUUGACAUUGAUUGAAUUUUCCAGAGAUGGAGAAGUGCCUUUCGGGGAACAUGAAAACAGGAGCUGCACGGCUGUCGUCAGCUCGUGUCGUGAGAUGUUGGGUUAAGUCCCGCAACGAGCGCAACCCUCGUCGUUAGUUGCUAACAGUUCGGCUGAGCACUCUAGCGAGACUGCCUUCGCAAGGAGGAGGAAGGUGAGGACGACGUCAAGUCAUCAUGGCCCUUAUGGCUAGGGCUACACACGUGCUACAAUGGGGCGUACAGAGAGUUGCGAUACCGCGAGGUGGAGCUAAUCUCAUAAAGCGUCUCUCAGUUCGGAUUGUUCUCUGCAACUCGAGAACAUGAAGCUGGAAUCACUAGUAAUCGUAGAUCAGCAAUGCUACGGUGAAUACGUUCCCGGGUCUUGUACUCACCGCCCGUCACACCAUGGGAGUUGAUUUCGCCCGAAGCGGGGAUGCUAAACUAGCUACCCUCUACGGCGGAAUUAGCGACUGGGGUGAAGUCGUAACAAGGUA
rnacentral:rRNA from 1 species